AGCGUACACGGUGGAUGCCCUGGCAGUCAGAGGCGAUGAAGGACGUGCUAAUCUGCGAUAAGCGUCGGUAAGGUGAUAUGAACCGUUAUAACCGGCGAUUUCCGAAUGGGGAAACCCAGUGUGAUUCGUCACACUAUCAUUAACUGAAUCCAUAGGUUAAUGAGGCGAACCGGGGGAACUGAAACAUCUAAGUACCCCGAGGAAAAGAAAUCAACCGAGAUUCCCCCAGUAGCGGCGAGCGAACGGGGAGCAGCCCAGAGCCUGAAUCAGUGUGUGUGUUAGUGGAAGCGUCUGGAAAGGCGCGCGAUACAGGGUGACAGCCCCGUACACAAAAAUGCACAUGCUGUGAGCUCGAUGAGUAGGGCGGGACACGUGGUAUCCUGUCUGAAUAUGGGGGGACCAUCCUCCAAGGCUAAAUACUCCUGACUGACCGAUAGUGAACCAGUACCGUGAGGGAAAGGCGAAAAGAACCCCGGCGAGGGGAGUGAAAAAGAACCUGAAACCGUGUACGUACAAGCAGUGGGAGCACAGAGCAAUCUGUGUGACUGCGUACCUUUUGUAUAAUGGGUCAGCGACUUAUAUUCUGUAGCAAGGUUAACCGAAUAGGGGAGCCGAAGGGAAACCGAGUCUUAACUGGGCGUUAAGUUGCAGGGUAUAGACCCGAAACCCGGUGAUCUAGCCAUGGGCAGGUUGAAGGUUGGGUAACACUAACUGGAGGACCGAACCGACUAAUGUUGAAAAAUUAGCGGAUGACUUGUGGCUGGGGGUGAAAGGCCAAUCAAACCGGGAGAUAGCUGGUUCUCCCCGAAAGCUAUUUAGGUAGCGCCUCGUGAAUUCAUCUCCGGGGGUAGAGCACUGUUUCGGCAAGGGGGUCAUCCCGACUUACCAACCCGAUGCAAACUGCGAAUACCGGAGAAUGUUAUCACGGGAGACACACGGCGGGUGCUAACGUCCGUCGUGAAGAGGGAAACAACCCAGACCGCCAGCUAAGGUCCCAAAGUCAUGGUUAAGUGGGAAACGAUGUGGGAAGGCCCAGACAGCCAGGAUGUUGGCUUAGAAGCAGCCAUCAUUUAAAGAAAGCGUAAUAGCUCACUGGUCGAGUCGGCCUGCGCGGAAGAUGUAACGGGGCUAAACCAUGCACCGAAGCUGCGGCAGCGACGCUUAUGCGUUGUUGGGUAGGGGAGCGUUCUGUAAGCCUGUGAAGGUGUACUGUGAGGUAUGCUGGAGGUAUCAGAAGUGCGAAUGCUGACAUAAGUAACGAUAAAGCGGGUGAAAAGCCCGCUCGCCGGAAGACCAAGGGUUCCUGUCCAACGUUAAUCGGGGCAGGGUGAGUCGACCCCUAAGGCGAGGCCGAAAGGCGUAGUCGAUGGGAAACAGGUUAAUAUUCCUGUACUUGGUGUUACUGCGAAGGGGGGACGGAGAAGGCUAUGUUGGCCGGGCGACGGUUGUCCCGGUUUAAGCGUGUAGGCUGGUUUUCCAGGCAAAUCCGGAAAAUCAAGGCUGAGGCGUGAUGACGAGGCACUACGGUGCUGAAGCAACAAAUGCCCUGCUUCCAGGAAAAGCCUCUAAGCAUCAGGUAACAUCAAAUCGUACCCCAAACCGACACAGGUGGUCAGGUAGAGAAUACCAAGGCGCUUGAGAGAACUCGGGUGAAGGAACUAGGCAAAAUGGUGCCGUAACUUCGGGAGAAGGCACGCUGAUAUGUAGGUGAAGUCCCUCGCGGAUGGAGCUGAAAUCAGUCGAAGAUACCAGCUGGCUGCAACUGUUUAUUAAAAACACAGCACUGUGCAAACACGAAAGUGGACGUAUACGGUGUGACGCCUGCCCGGUGCCGGAAGGUUAAUUGAUGGGGUCAGCGCAAGCGAAGCUCUUGAUCGAAGCCCCGGUAAACGGCGGCCGUAACUAUAACGGUCCUAAGGUAGCGAAAUUCCUUGUCGGGUAAGUUCCGACCUGCACGAAUGGCGUAAUGAUGGCCAGGCUGUCUCCACCCGAGACUCAGUGAAAUUGAACUCGCUGUGAAGAUGCAGUGUACCCGCGGCAAGACGGAAAGACCCCGUGAACCUUUACUAUAGCUUGACACUGAACAUUGAGCCUUGAUGUGUAGGAUAGGUGGGAGGCUUUGAAGUGUGGACGCCAGUCUGCAUGGAGCCGACCUUGAAAUACCACCCUUUAAUGUUUGAUGUUCUAACGUUGACCCGUGAUCCGGGUUGCGGACAGUGUCUGGUGGGUAGUUUGACUGGGGCGGUCUCCUCCUAAAGAGUAACGGAGGAGCACGAAGGUUGGCUAAUCCUGGUCGGACAUCAGGAGGUUAGUGCAAUGGCAUAAGCCAGCUUGACUGCGAGCGUGACGGCGCGAGCAGGUGCGAAAGCAGGUCAUAGUGAUCCGGUGGUUCUGAAUGGAAGGGCCAUCGCUCAACGGAUAAAAGGUACUCCGGGGAUAACAGGCUGAUACCGCCCAAGAGUUCAUAUCGACGGCGGUGUUUGGCACCUCGAUGUCGGCUCAUCACAUCCUGGGGCUGAAGUAGGUCCCAAGGGUAUGGCUGUUCGCCAUUUAAAGUGGUACGCGAGCUGGGUUUAGAACGUCGUGAGACAGUUCGGUCCCUAUCUGCCGUGGGCGCUGGAGAACUGAGGGGGGCUGCUCCUAGUACGAGAGGACCGGAGUGGACGCAUCACUGGUGUUCGGGUUGUCAUGCCAAUGGCACUGCCCGGUAGCUAAAUGCGGAAGAGAUAAGUGCUGAAAGCAUCUAAGCACGAAACUUGCCCCGAGAUGAGUUCUCCCUGACUCCUUGA
rnacentral:rRNA from 1 species